AAGAGGGAGUGGCGAACGGGUGAGUAGCACGUGAGCAACCUGCCCCCGAAGACCGGGACGAACACCGGGAAACUGGUGCUAAUACCCGGAUACCCCCAUCGGACCGCAUGAUUCGAUGAGGAAAUGGAUUCCGCUUCGGGAGGGGCUCGCGGCCUAUCAGCUAGUUGGUGAGGUAAUGGCUCACCAAGGCUUCGACGGAUAGCUGGUCUGAGAGGACGAUCAGCCACACUGGGACUGAGACACGGCCCAGACUCCUACGGGAGGCAGCAGUGGGGAAUCUUGCGCAAUGGGCGAAAGCCUGAACCGCAGCAACGCCGCGUGGGGGACGAAUGCUUUCUGAGUUGUAAACCCCUUUCAGCAGGGACGAUUGUGACGGUACCUGCAGAAGAAGCACCGGCCAACUACGUGCCAGCCGCCGC
rnacentral:rRNA from 1 species